UGUUGCAGUUAAAAAGCUCGUAGUCGAACCUUGGGUCUGGCUGGCCGGUCCGCCUCACCGCGAGUACUGGUCCGGCUGGACCUUUCCUUCUGGGGAACCUCAUGGCCUUCACUGGCUGUGGGGGGAACCAGGACUUUUACUGUGAAAAAAUUAGAGUGUUCAAAGCAGGCCUUUGCUCGAAUACAUUAGCAUGGAAUAAUAGAAUAGGACGUGCGGUUCUAUUUUGUUGGUUUCUAGGACCGCCGUAAUGAUUAAUAGGGAUAGUCGGGGGCGUCAGUAUUCAGCUGUCAGAGGUGAAAUUCUUGGAUUUGCUGAAGACUAACUACUGCGAAAGCAUUCGCCAAGGAUGUUUUCAUUAAUCAGGGAACGAAAGUUAGGGGAUCGAAGACGAUCAGAUACCGUCGUAGUCUUAACCAUAAACUAUGCCGACUAGGGAUCGGACGGGAUUCUAUGAUGACCCGUUCGGCACCUUACGAGAAAUCAAAGUUUUUGGGUUCUGGGGGGAG
rnacentral:rRNA from 1 species